CCUGAACGCUGGCGGCGUGGCUAAGACAUGCAAGUCGCACGGAGGUAGCAAUACCUUAGUGGCGAACGGGUGAGUAAUGAAUCGCUAAUGUGCCCCGGACUCUGGGAUAGCUGCCCGGAAAGGGCAGGUAAUACCAGAUGAUAUAACCGAACCGCAUGGUUUGGUUCUCAAAGGUCCGCCGGUCUGGGAGCAGGCGAUUUCGUAUCAGCUAGUUGGUGAGGUAACGCNCACCAAGGCGACGACGCGUAGCCGGACUGAGAGGUUGGCCGGCACAUUGGGACUGAGACACUGCCCAGACUCCGUACGGGGGGCUGCAGUAACGAAUCUUCCGCAAUGCACGAAAGUGUGACGGAGCGACGCCGCGUGUAGGACGAACG
rnacentral:rRNA from 1 species